GCACAUAAUGCACAUAUGUGCACACUCCCUUGAUACUGCCACCCAGAGCAAAACUCAUCUCGCUCACUGAUGAAAAAAAUAGAGGGAACACUGGUGGGCAGCUCUGGAGGGGGAGCCAGGACUAAGCGGAUGCCUUAGCAACAACUUGCAAACAAUGGGAUCAAAUGCCUUAGCAACAACUUGCAAACAAUGGGAUCAAAUGGGAGCAAUCUCCAUUGCUCAUCAGCAGAGAUACAGUGAAAUACGGGAAGCAUCAGUUGCUUUAUUGUGCUUACUGCAGUAGUGUGUAGAUUUGUAUCUAACAUGGCAGGAUCAAAACACAAUGCAUGUGUGUGCUUGUGCGCACACACAAAAAGUACUGUACACGCCACAAGUAAAGCACAGACCAGCUACAAAAGGCCACUGGAUAAGAGAAAGCACUGGCGAGAAGGGGAAAAGAGGAGAAUAAGAGAAAUGACAUGGGGAAGAGAAGGAUACAUGGGUUGAAAAGGGGUUGGAAGAGGAAAGCGGAGGAUGAGGGUGAAGAGAAAUAACUUGGGGGAGGAAAAAGGGUGAAAAUAAAUAACUGGUGGAAGGGAAUGGAUAAAUGUGUGAGGAGAGGGGAAAUGAGGUGAAGGCUGUGGUGAAUGAAAAGCUGAAAGAAGAAAAGGAAAGGAAAAGAAUGUGAGAGGCAAGCAGAGAAGAAGAUAAAGGAGGGAGUGGGAGAAAGGAGAGAACACUGAAAGAGGAUGAGGGGGGAAAUGGAAGAGGAGUGAGAGAGAAAUGGUGCAGAGGAAUAGAGAAUGAGAUGAAAAACAGAGAAAGCUGAAGAAAAUCUGAGAAACGGUAAGGAAGUGAAUGUGAGAGAAAGGAAGAGCAGAAGAAGAUAAUCAAGAAAAGGAGCUGAAGGGAAAUAAGGGGGCAAGAGGAGGCAAAUACAAGAAGGGGAAAAAAUCAAGGCAGAGGAGGGAAAGGCACCAGGGGCAAAGGUGAGAGAACUGGAGGGGAGGGGAGGCGAGUCAUGGGGGAAAUGGAGGGAGGGAUUGUUGCUCAGGUGGCAGCAGCCGAAAAUUAAGCAGGAGCAAGAGCCAUCCCAUCUCCUCUCUCUUCGUGCAGCCUUUGGAAAGGAAGGUGAAAGAUAGCAUUUUGCAGUAUGCGGAGCAGCAGCAUCACCCCAAGCAGCAGCAUCUCCCCAAGCAACAGCCCCACUGACUUUGCUCCUUGACCUGCCACUGUCCAGCCAAUCUGAUCGCUUGAAUGAGGUGUGUGCUUGUUUCCCUGGUGGCGACCCCCACUGUUUUCACUGUUCCGAGGUGGGGGCAAGGCUAGGAGAAGGCCCGGGAGAUGCAGCCUCUGUCAGCCUGGGCCUGUUACUGCUCUGAAAACAUUGAUGAACAAUGGUGCUAGAAUUCCAGGAUGAUCAGUGUCUGAGUCACCACCUAUUAACCCUUCUGUGCCAGAGGAAUUUGCUUCGUGCCUUUUGUGUUUCCUGCCUUUUGUGCUUUGUGACUUUUCAAGUCUCAUCCUACUAGAGUUAAUUAUCUAACAUGGUGUUCCAUAAAUUGAUCUGCCAAGAGCAGUAACACCUAAAAAUAGCAUACCAGUGAUAUCAGAAAGGAGAUGAAUAACCAGAGAUGUGUCAAUGAUGAUAUCCCUCUGAGAGACCAACCAAUAUUCUGUAUAUUAAAAAUACAAUAGCAGGAAAUUUCCUGUGGUUGGUGACAGGACUUCUCUGCUCUUAUUAGGAAACCUGGAUGUUCAGCAUCUCUCUGAAUUAGUUAAAGGAUUUUUUGCUUUUUUAAAAGUUCAUGCUCUUAUUGUAAAGAGUAUUAGGGAUAUAAAUCAUAUUUUAUUUAUUAAACGUUUGAUAUUAUUUAAAGGUUUAGCCAAUAGGAGGUCUCAUGGGGGAAUCAGUUCCUACAAGAGCAGAGGAGAUGCUGGCAGAGACGCUGGGCUACUGCCUGUUCUCUGCAGCAAUUGGACAUGUUGGCAGCCAUCAGAUACUUGGCUGCUUCUUGGCAGGCAUCUCCCUGGUCUCUUCUUUUGUUCCCUCACCUUCUCGUCUAAAUCCUAUUUAAGUGUUUAGUGCAUUUCCUUACCAUUAAGACUGUCUUCCAUUCCUAAAGGAUAUUCAGUGUGUAAUGUUAUUGAAGGUGAUUUAAAAACAAAAACAAAUAAUCACUAAGAGACCUGGUUUUAGCACUGACCUCUUAUAUUCUGGAUGCAGGCCUGUCCUUGGGGCGGGGCGACCGGUGCGAUUGCCCCAGGCCGCCUGGACAGGCCCUGCCCCACGGCGCACACCAGUGGCUGAGUGAGCGGAAAGCAGCCUGCCUCUCCGCUCGCUUGGCAGCCUCAUGUCAUGCCUCUUGCCUCAGCUCCUGGCUGGCGCGGCAACCACGGCACUGGCAUGGGUGUGUGUGCUCUGAGUCCUCUGUGACGGACGGGCCUGACCAGGCUUUCUGGGUGAAUCCCUACUACCCCAACGACAUGGAGCGUGAGAGGCUUCCCCGCCUGACUGGGAUCCCGGAGGGUAUGCUGGGGAUGCGUGGCAAAUAAGGGUCUCAUUUCUCCUCCUCCUCCCCCCCCCCCCCCCGCAUCUCCCUAUGCAAGCGGCAAUUGCUCCUCCUGAAAAGCGGCCUCUAAAUCUCUUUGAGUGUCUCUUGAGCCACAUUCGGAAAGGGGCAAGUGGGAGUGCUAAAUCUGAGUAGCAGUAGCAGGAUGAAAUAACACGAUUGUGCAGGAAAUCAUGCCCCACCCCACCCCUGCGGGCUCAGCUGCUAUUUCCCACGGGGGGGGCACCUCGAUCUGAAGCAUGCUGUUUACUCACAAGUAAUUUCAGUUGGAUGAGAACUGCUCCCAAGAAGCGGGCAUAUGCUAGAAAGCUCAACAAAGUAUGUGCCAAUUGCAUCACUGCUCUGCCUGAGCUGCCUCCUGCCCUUCCUCUUAGCCUGCGCACAGAGUCCGUGCCUGGAGGCAUAUCAUCUCUGACGCAGAGUCCUGCGUGCCAGCAGGCAGGUGAGAAGGAGUGCUGUGCUGGAGAGGCUUGAAGCUGGCUGGACUGGAGCUGCUGCCUGUUAUGCAGGCUGGCUGCACAGGCAGCAGGCAGAGGCUCCUCUCCCUCCACCACACAGAAGCAGCAGCCUCAAGAGAGAUGAGAGAGACCAGCAACUGAGCCCAAGCCAGUAAAAUCAUUGAGUCUCUACUCUGUUAGUCUCUCCUCUCCUGUCUUUUUUAUGCUGUGUUGGUGGCUGUAUGGGCUGGUCUGGGGACCAGGGAUCUUGGAGUUUAGAAUGUCAGAAUGUUUCUGCUAGUGUGUAUCUGCUCAAGGAGACUUGUACAUUUGUACAUUCAUGCAAAUUCAGUUGCUUAAAUACUGGAUCCUUUAGAGACGGGGGUGGGGGGAAUGGGCAGAGUGGGGAAAGAAACAUGUGGGAUGGGAAUAUGUUAAGAUGCAUGUUGAAAUGUUUCUGUUAAUGCAUAUUUGCAUAAAUAUACUUGUUUUUAUAUUCUUACAUUCUUGUGAGUUCAGUUGCUGUUUGUGCCCCCAAGAAUCUUCCUUCACAGUGGUUUUUAAAAAAAAAAAACUUGCAAAAGGAGGGAACUAGCCAAGGCACAGUCUGUACAAAAAGCUGUUUGUGUUUUUUAGUCCCAAACAGUCACAAAAAGCAUUUUAUAAAUGCUUUUAUUAGUACUAUAAGUAAAAACAGAAAAGUUACAUCUCUGAGAGUCCAACAGAACCAUACAUGCUUACAUACAAGAUCUUAUCCAUAAAAAAACCAUAAGAAGAAUACAAUAAUAUUAAUUGUGUCUAAAAGAUCUAAGACUAGGCAUCAAUAGCCAUCAAUAAAGAAUCUUUAACCCCUCAAGGAAGAAACCCCCCCCUCCAACCUCAUUGGUCAUCAAGCAGUCUAAAGAGGAGAGAACCAACCCAGCCAUGACAUACAAAAUAUAAGCAAUGCAAAUAAUUCAAGCACAGAACCAGACAGCCUCAGUGUUCUGCAGUAUGGGCUCCCCCUCUGCCCCAAACCCACAAGCUCAAAAGUGUUGUUAAAUAUUAAUGAUUAGUUUCUGUAUUCUAUAGGAGAGAAUAUGAACUUCCUCGCUCCAGUUUUGUCCUUCAUCUGAUUUAAAACCUGUAUAAAUAAAAAUUAGAAAGCCUAAAAUUUAUUCAAAAGCUUUCAUUUAAUGAAUUUAAUGAAUUUUAUAAUGUAUAUGUUUAAUAAAAUGUUUUAUUAUGUAUUAUUUCCCAAAACUAAAUAAAAAGGUUUCUAAAAAGUCAUAGAUCUUCUAAUCUUUUCUGUCCCAACUUCACCAAAAAGGAAAUUAAAACGUUCCAUACAAAAUAACAAACGGUAUAUGCAGUCAUUUAAUAGUCUUAUAUCUUAUAUAUUAAGCUGAAGGACAGAUAGAAUCUAAGAUGAUCGAAAAGCAUACAUGAAUUUAGAAAAAAACAAAAGUGAGUUCAGUAAAUUUUAAAAUCCUUGUUCUAUUAAGACAAGGGUGUUACAAACUUAAGACCAGAACCUCUUCAGCAGGCUUCGCUAGCAAAAUGCUAUACAAUUCAGUUACACCUAUCUUCCCACUUGAAUUUCAAUGCUGUAAAUAACAGAUGAAGGAAUCUAAACAAAAUUCAUGAAUUCAAUCCUGCUAAUAAGAACUCUAAAAUAGAUACGUAAUUUUAAAUGUAUCUCAAAUAUGUGUCUCAGAUAUGUCUUAAAUAUAUAAUUUUAAAUAUGCCUUAAUGCAGUUUAUAAUACCAAUAAAAUAAAGUGGGAGGAUCCCUCAGGCGGAGCAUAGGCUGGUUAUGCAUGAUUCUGUGCCUGAACCAUACCGUAGUAGAUCACAUCAAUCACUUCAUACUGGCUCUCUUCUCCAAACACAAUUCAGCACAGCUACCCCCUAAAAAAUCCAUGAGAGGUUCAAAAGACAGCAAUACAGAAAAUCAUAUAAGUACCUAUAGCCCCCAGAGGCACAGCUAACGUGGCUCUUCGUAGAGAGGUUGGGGUUACCACCUUGAAAAUGAAAAUCUGGUUUUGUAUAAUCAGAUUCUGGCUGCAUUUGGCUUUCUUCCCAGUCAGUUUAGUGUCUUAGUGUUAGUGUUAACUGACAGCUUUACAUCUAAAUGGGAAAUAGCUCUGAAAACAAAAUUGCAUCAACUGGGCAUGUCCCAAGAAAACCUCUUAGGGAGGGGUUUAGAUCAGAUGAUAUGUUUUGUUAGGCAACUACUAUUGGACAUAGAUCUGCAGGAGGCGUGUGCUCGACUACCAAGGGGAAUCUAUAUAGGCUCUCAAAGCUUCUGCCACAAACUGGCUGAUUAUUUAGAUCAUAUGUUUUUACCUAAGUUUAGGAGAGCAUUGACCCGUGCUCAUUUGAAUGCCCUUCCCUCUGCACUCCUAGACGGGAAAUAUAAAUGAGUUCCAUACGCAUUGUGUCAUUGCCCUUGUGGCUCAGGGGAUAUAGAGUCAAUUAUUCGUGUUAUUCUGUAUUGUCAGUUUUAUAGGGAUGCUCGUAUUAAGUUUAUUGCUCCUCUCCUAAGGAAUCAUCCUGGCCAUACGGAUCAAUUUUACUUGGAUUUUUUGCUGUCAAAUUUUAAAUCUGUUAUUUCUAUAAAUGUGGCCAAGUUUUGUUUUGUUGCAUCCAAACUUUGUAGAGCUUGUAUUAGCAGUUCGAAUAUUUUGUAAAUUAUAAAUGUAUUAUUUUAAAUGUUAAGCUGGUCUAAGGGCUGUAAUAAAUUUACUUCCUUA